UACGUAUGGGGCAGGCGUUAUCCGGAUUUACUGGGUGUAAGGGGAGCGCAGGCGGCCUGGCAAGCCUGAUGUGAAAUACCGGGGCCCAACCCCGGGGCUGCAUUGGGAACUGCCAGGCUGGAGUGCCGGAGAGGCAGGCGGAAUUCCUAGUGUAGCGGUGAAAUGCGUAGAUAUUAGGAGGAACACCAGUGGCGAAGGCGGCCUGCUGGACGGUGACUGACGCUGAGGCUCGAAAGCGUGGGGAGCAAACAGG
rnacentral:rRNA from 1 species